rnacentral:snoRNA from 1 species
GCAAUGAUGAAUUUGUGGGUUUGAUCUGUGAGCUGAAAAUACACAACCAAUUCCUCUAAGAAGUUCUGAGCUC